rnacentral:lncRNA from 1 species
AUGGAAAUCAAAAGUCUUGAAGACAGCCUGCUAAUAUCAAAGGAGAUAUAUGCAAAAGAACUGGCAUCUCUAGAGCAAAAAUUGAAGACAGAAAAAAAGAUGAGAGUAAUGCUUCAGUGGAAGCUACUGUACUUAAAAAAGCAGAGAAAACUCUUUUUCUCAGAGGAGGAGAACAUAAGCAGAGAAGCGAGUGAAAGGAUAGAGGCUCUUAGAAAAAGGCAUGCUGAACUACUUCUGAAGACUGAAGACCUUGAGAAAGAAAUUCUUCAGUCUGAAAACCGAAUCAAAGCACUGAGUGAAGAAGCAAAUAAGAGGGAAAAUGAUUACAGGAAUUAUAAUGAAGAUUUCAUUAACAAAAUGAAAUGUCUGGAGAAUGACAUCAAAACUGCAACUGAAAAUCUGCUUAAAAAAGAACAAGAAUUAAAAGUAAGCAGGCUAACCUUGGAAGAAACCCAGAAAGAAAAAGAAGAGAAGUAUACAAAAUAUGAAGAACUGAAUAAAUUGUUUUCAGAAAAGAAAGAUGAAGAGGUAAGAAUCAAAAGAGCCAUUCAGCAGUCAAUCAAGACUACUAGGAAGCUCAAGGAGGACAUGCUGGAGCUAAGAAAUAAGCUGCGGAUCACGCGUGAUGCUGCAGUUAGUCAGCUGAAGAAUCACACAGAGAGUAUGAAGUUGCUGGAAAGAGACAUCUAUGAGAUCAAUAGAAAACUUGACAUUGUGAACACGGAGAACUGCAGAUUCAAAUUAUACAAUCUGCAGAUGAAAGAAGAUAUUUUUGCAAUGAAUUCUGAAGCAGAAAACCACAAGUCAGCAACAGUCAAAAUUCUGAAUGACCUAGCAGUGCUUCAUGAUCUUCUUCUGAAGGCAUGGUCAGAAGACAGCUCUAUUCAAAAGGAAUUUCUGGAGAACGAGCAGGAAAUUCUGAAUGCAGUGACAGCCCUAGCAACGAAAAUUCAACGUCGAGAGGAGAAGAUUGGUGAUAUUAAUAGCAGGCUACAAAAUAACCUGGAAGGACUGGAUUCUCUGUUUGAAAAAAAAUCUAGAAUGGAUGAGCACUGUUUUGCUGAAGGCUAAAACCCCUGAGGCCAGAAAGAAG